rnacentral:ncRNA from 12 species
GAGAAUUAGCUCAGCGGGAGAGCGAUCGCUUCGCAAGCGAUAGGUCAUGGGUUCGAAUCCCAUAUUCCCC